rnacentral:rRNA from 1 species
GACGAACGCUGGCGGCGUGCCUAAUACAUGCAAGUCGAGCGGCCUUUCAAGAAGCUUGCUUUUUGAAAGUUAGCGGCGGACGGGUGAGUAACACGUGGGCAACCUGCCUGCAAGACGGGGAUAACUCCGGGAAACCGGGGCUAAUACCGGAUAAUAUCUUCCUUCGCAUGAAGGAAGGGUGAAAGGCGGCGCAAGCUGCCGCUUGCAGAUGGGCCCGCGGCGCAUUUGCUAGUUGGAGAGGCAACGGCUCACCAAGGCGACGAUGCGUAGCCGACCUUGGAAGGUGAUCGGCCAACCUGGGAACGAGACACGGCCCAGACUCCUACGGGAGGCAGCAGUAGGGAAUCUUCCGCAAUGGACGAAAGUCUGACGGAGCAACGCCGCGUGAGCGGAGAAGGUCUUCGGAUCGUAAAGCUCUGUUGUCAGGGAAGAACAAGUACCGUUCGAACAGGGCGGUACCUUGACGGUACCUGACCAGAAAGCCACGGCUAACUACGUG